CUUAAAUCCAAGGUUUAAUUUUAGCAGGACAACAGAACAAGAGUUUUUCAGGUUAGACUGGAAUCAUUUCUUCUGGGUCAGCCGUGCUAAGAUUUGGACUGUUGUUGUUCUGUGGGAUGCCAUUUGUCAUCACAAAUGCACCAUUUCUUAUACUGGGACAAAUUGGAAAAAGUGCAGACUGAGUGAGCAGGAGGGACAUGGCUAACAAAACUAGCAUGUGGUGAUGGAGGAAUGAUUGUUGGCAACCAAAGAAUUUGUUCUGAAGAAGGGGGACCCUGUUGAGUGAACUACUG